rnacentral:rRNA from 1 species
GACGAACGCUGGCGGCGUGCUUAACACAUGCAAGUCGAACGGAAAGGCCCUGCUUCUUUGGGCUGCUCGAGUGGCGAACGGGUGAGUAACACGUGAGUAACCUGCCCCUGACUGUGGGGUAACUUCAGGAAGAUGGGGCUAAUACUGCAUAGGAGCUCCUGCUGCAUGGUGGGGGUUGGAAUGUUUCGGCGGUUGGGGAUGGACUCGCGGGUUAUCAGCUAGAUGGUGGGGUAGUGGCUUACCACGGCACUGCCGGGUAGCCGACCUGGGAGGGUGGCCGGCGACAAUGGGACUGAGAUACGGCGCAGACUCGUAUAGGAGGCAACGGUGGGGAGUAUUGUACAGUGGGGGGGAGCGUAAGGCGGCAGCGCUGCGUGCGGGAAGUCGUCCUUCCGGUUGGAAAGCGCUUUCACCUGAGACGAAGCGUGAGUGACGGUACCGGGUGAAGAAGCACCGGCUAACUACGUG